rnacentral:tRNA from 1 species
ACAUAGCUCAGUUGGUUAGAGCACCACCUUGACAUGGUGGGGGUCGUUGGUUCGAGUCCAAUUGUGCCUACCA